UCAUAGGUUUAUUCAUAUUAUUAUAAUAAAUAUUUCAAACUGAAACGCAAAUAAUAUUAUGUGAUCAUGGUUAAAUUUAUUUUGUUUGUAGAUGUAUUGAGGCAAGAAGAAAUUGAAACAUUUUAUAAGGUUUGUCAAAUGCAUCGAGAAUUUUACAGAGGUUAUCCUAAAUCAUAUCAUCCUCUGACUUACUUCCGAGAACCAUCGUAUAUGGGGCAGUGUCCUCAAGAGAUGUCCGAGGUCUAUUUGAGCUUCCCUUCAUUCCAUGUAAAAUACAAGGAGCCACCUAUAUUGCCACCAUCUAUAGGGCGUACAAUACCUUUCCCACCAUUGCCUGAUCGUUCAUUAGCACCAAGAUACAAUAAACCUGCAUGUAAAGCGUUUAUAAGAUAAUUUAUUUGUUUUACAACAAAAUUUUAUUUGCUUUGUUUAUAAAGAUGUUCAAAUUAUAUUUCUGCUUUUA